rnacentral:rRNA from 1 species
CCUACGGGUGGCAGCAGUGGGGAAUAUUGGACAAUGGGCGAAAGCCUGAUCCAGCCAUGCCGCGUGUGUGAAGAAGGCCUUCGGGUUGUAAAGCACUUUCAGUGGGGAAGAAAGCCUUGGGGCUAAUACCCUCGAGGAAGGACAUCACCCACAGAAGAAGCACCGGCUAACUCCGUGCCAGCAGCCGCGGUAAUACGGAGGGUGCGAGCGUUAAUCGGAAUUACUGGGCGUAAAGCGCGCGUAGGCGGUCUGAUAAGCCGGUUGUGAAAGCCCCGGGCUCAACCUGGGAACGGCAUCCGGAACUGUCAGGCUAGAGUGCAGGAGAGGAAGGUAGAAUUCCCGGUGUAGCGGUGAAAUGCGUAGAGAUCGGGAGGAAUACCAGUGGCGAAGGCGGCCUUCUGGACUGACACUGACGCUGAGGUGCGAAAGCGUGGGUAGCAAACAGGAUUGGAUACCCUGGUAGUC